AUAACUCUUCGUCUACUUCGCCACCGCCAUCCUCAUGGUCGCCGCGUAGGUCCUAUGUGAGUCAUUCGAUUUACAAAGGGAAGGCUGCUCUUACUGUGGAGCCUAGGGCCCCUGACUUUAUGCCUUUAGCUUCGGGCUUUUAAAAUAUCCAGGGAAGGAUGUGUGCUGCUACAGUUUGCACCUGCAGCUGGUAUAGACUUGGGGCAGGAAGCAGG